GAGAAGAGGAGGAAUGGUUAUGGCAAUGAGGAAGAAGGAGGUGUUGUUAAACAGAGCAGAACAGAGAAGAAGUUUCAAGAAGAAGCAGAAGGCUGAGAUUGUUUUGUCCGUGCAAGGACAUUUUCUGUGGGAAGUGUUCUCUGGACAUGCGCAGUGUGACAGGAAGUACUGAAAACAAUGGUUCUGUGUAACUUGUUGUGAGUGUCUUGCUUGCGUCUUGAGAGGAGCAGAGAGAGAGUCUUGGGCUCUUGUUGGACUCUAAACAUGCCUUGACCAUUCAGUGGUGAAUGUCUGUAUAUAUUGUCUACCAAUAUGCUUUUAUGCCUGUCAAGUAAACCUCUACGAUUGACUGAA